rnacentral:tRNA from 3 species
GGGCCCGUAGCUCAGCUAGGUAGAGCGCCAGACUCAUAAUCUGUUGGUCAUUGGUUCAAAUCCGAUCGGGCCCACCA